GUCAGGUGUGAUGUCAUGCACCUUAGUCCCAGCUACUCUGGAGGCUGAGGUGGGAGGAUCGCUUGAGCCAAGGAGUUCUAGGCUGUAGUGUGCUAUGCCAAUGGUGUGUCCACACUCAGUUUGGCAUUAAUAUGAUGACUUCCUGGGAGCAAGUGUUGCCAAAGGAGGGGUAAACCAGCCCAGGUCAGAAAUGGAGCCGGUCAAAACUCCUGUGCUGAUUAGUAGUGGGAUCAAACCUGUGAAUAGCCACUGCACUCCAGCCUGGCAACUUCAUGAGACCUCUUCUCU
rnacentral:SRP_RNA from 1 species